rnacentral:tRNA from 1 species
UCCUUGGUAGUCCAGUGGUUAGGACUCUGUGCUUUCACUGCUGAGGUCCUGGGUUUGAUCCCUGGUCGGGAAA